rnacentral:tRNA from 1 species
ACAUCGGUAGCACAGUGGUCAGUGCAGUCUGAAAGACGCGGGUUCAAUUCCCGCCCGAUGUC